rnacentral:rRNA from 1 species
GACGAACGCUGGCGGCGUGCUUAACACAUGCAAGUCGAACGGAAAGGCCUGCUUUCCCUUGUGGAUUGCGGGUACUCGAGUGGCGAACGGGUGAGUAACACGUGAGUGAUCUGCCCCCAACUUGGGUAUAAGCCUGGGAAACUGGGUCUAAUUCCCGAUAGGACUGCAGGGUGGUGCCUGUGGUGGAAAACGAUUUUCUAGUGGUUGGGGAUGAGCUCGCGGCCUAUCAGCUUGUUGGUGUGGUAAUGGCCUACCAAGGCGGCGACGGGUAGCCGGCCUGAGAGGGUGGACGGCCACAUUGGGACUGAGAUCCGGCCCAGACUCCUACGGGAGGCAGCAGUGGGGCCUAUUGCACCAUGGGCGGAAGCCUGAUGCAGCGACGCCGCGUGGGGGAUGACGGCCUUCGGGUUGUAAGCUCCUUUCGACCGCGAGGAAGCCACCUGGUUGGAAGGGUGGUGACGGUAGUGGUAGAAGAAGCACCGGCUAACUACGUG